AUUGAACGCUGGCGGCAGGCCUAACACAUGCAAGUCGAGCGGAUGAAGGGAGCUUGCUCCUGGAUUCAGCGGCGGACGGGUGAGUCAUGCCUAGGAAUCUGCCUGGUAGUGGGGGAUAACGUCCGGAUACGGGCGCUAAUACCGCAUCCGUCCUGAGGGAGAAAGUGGGGGAUCUUCGGACCUCUCGCUAUCAUAUGAGGCUAGGUCGGAUUAGCUAGUUGGUGGGGUAAAGGCCUACCAAGGAGACGAUGCGUAACUGGUACGAGGGCAUGAUCAGUCACACUGGAACAGAGGCACGGUCCAGACUCCUACGGUAGGCAGCAGUGGGGAAUAUUGGACAAUGGGCGAAAGCCUGAUCCAGCCAUGCCGCGUGUGUGAAGAAGGUCUUCGGAUUGUAGAGCACUUUAAGUUGGGAGGAAGUGCAGUAAGUUAAUACCUUGCUGUUUUGACGGUACCAACAGAAUAAGCACCGGCUAACUUCGUG
rnacentral:rRNA from 1 species